rnacentral:rRNA from 1 species
GACGAACGCUGGCGGCGUGCUUAACACAUGCAAGUCGAACGGAAAGGCCCUGCUUUUGUGGGGUGCUCGAGUGGCGAACGGGUGAGUAACACGUGAGUAACCUGCCCUUGACUUUGGGAUAACUUCAGGAAACUGGGGCUAAUACCGGAUAGGAUCUCCUGCUGCAUGGUGGGGUUUGGAAAGUUUCGGCGGUUGGGGAUGGACUCGCGGCUUAUCAGCUUGUUGGUGGGGUAGUGGCUUACCAAGGCUUUGACGGGUAGCCGGCCUGAGAGGGUGACCGGCCAAAUUGGGACUGAGAUACGGCCCAGACUCAUACGGGAGGCAGCAGUGGGGAAUAUUGCACAAUGGGCGGAAGCCUGAUGCAGAAACGCCGCGUGCGGGAUGACGGCCUUCGGGUUGUAAACCGCUUUCGCCUGUGACGAAGCGUGAGUGACGGUAAUGGGUAAAGAAGCACCGGCUAACUACGUG